GUGUUGGUAGCUCAGAUGGCAGAGCACUGUAAUAGUAAUCCAGUGGUCGUGGGUUCAAAUCCCACCCAAGACA